CCAUCGACCAGGUAGUCUUGAGGGACAAGUUGGGGAGGGAAGGCCUUCCCAAGUGCCAAAAUCGUAGCUCUACCAGAGCUGGCCUUUCCCAUUUUGCAGGGACAAGGAAGCUAUUAAUAAAGUGACACUACCUGUUCAUCACCUAGAAAGGCAGUUUGAAUGCUCAAAGUCUACAAUGGAAGGCAUGUGAUUUGAAAAUAAGGAACUUUGAACAUAUCUGCAACAUAGGCAACUGCUGCUCCCUGAAAUUCAAAAUCAAUGAGUUAGAGACUUUGAUGGAAUUUUGAAGCGAAAGAAAUCUAUGCCAGUGUCAGCCUUUGCUAACUCCAGGUUCAUCAUCGACGUGAAAGCUAUUCGAAACAGGAACUUCAAAUACGUUUCAAAGAAAACUAGGAGCCCUUACAUCACAUUGAAGGUCAGAAGUGACUACCUAAUAACAUCGCAGUACCAAAACAAACUAAUGCUGUGGAUUAUCCAACUUAGAGAGAAUAAAUAUACCAUAAUGUUAACUCUAUUUAAUUCUUUCUGAAAGAA